rnacentral:tRNA from 1 species
AUUGUUUUGGCAGAAAAUUAUGCAAUAAAUUUAGAAUUUAUUAAUGUAAUAAAUUUACAAACAAUA